rnacentral:rRNA from 1 species
CACGUAGGGUGCGAGCGUUGUCCGGAAUUAUUGAGCGUAAAGAGCUCGUAGGCGGUGUGUCGCGUCGGCCGUGAAAACCUGCAGCUUAACUGUGGGCUUGCGGUCGAUACGGGCAUCACUGGAGUUCGGCAGGGGAGACUGGAAUUCCUGGUGUAGCGGUGAAAUGCGCAGAUAUCAGGAGGAACACCGGUGGCGAAGGCGGGUCUCUGGGCCGAUACUGACGCUGAGGAGCGAAAGCGUGGGGAUCAAACAGG